UGGAGCUACUGGGAAUUGUAGGAAUGGGCUGUUUGGGAUGAAAGAAAAUCACUAAGAAAAUUUUCUUGUUGAUAUUUUCUUCCCAAGCCCGCCCAUUCCAAUGAUUUCUAGCGGCUCCUCC
rnacentral:pre_miRNA from 1 species